CCUACGGGUGACAGCAGUGGGGAAUCUUCCGCAAUGGGCGAAAGCCUGACGGAGCAACGCCGCGUGAUCGAAUGAAGGCCUUCGGGUUGUAAAGUUCUGUUGACAGGGACGAAUAAGCAAUGCGAAUAGUUUUGUGUAUGACGGUACCUGUUUAGAAAGCUCCGGCUAACUACGUGCCGGCAGCCGCGGUAAUACGUAGGGAGCAAGCGUUGUCCGGAAUUACUGGGCGUAAAGGGCGCGUAGGUGGGCGCGUAAGUCAGGUGAGAAAACUGCGGGCUCAACCCGGAUACUGCACUUGAAACUGGGGGUCUUGAGGGCAGGAGAGGAAAGUGGAAUGCGUAGUGUAGCGGUGAAAUGCGUAGAUAUUAGGAAGAACACCAGUGGCGAAGGCGACUUGCUGGACUGUACCUGACGCUGAGGCGCGAAAGCGUGGGUAGCGAACGGGAUUAGAUACCCGGGUAGUC
rnacentral:rRNA from 1 species